CUACGGAGGGUGCAAGCGUUACUCGGAAUCACUGGGCGUAAAGCGCGCGCAGGCGGCUAUUUAAGUUGGAUGUGAAAGCCUACGGCUCAACCGUAGAACUGCAUCCAAAACUAUUUAGCUAGAGUGUGGGAGAGGGAGAUGGAAUUAGUUGUGUAGGGGUAAAAUCCGUAGAGAUAACUAGGAAUACCAAAAGCGAAGGCAAUCUUCUGGAACACUACUGACGCUGAGGCGCGAAAGCGUGGGGAGCAAACGGGAUUAGAUACCCUAGUAGUCC
rnacentral:rRNA from 1 species